GAACUGCUAAUACCGCAUAAGCCCACGGGUCGGCAUCGACCAGAGGGAAAAGGAGCAAUCCGCUUUGAGAUGGCCUCGCGUCCGAUUAGCUAGUUGGUGAGGUAAUGGCCCACCAAGGCAACGAUCGGUAGCCGGACUGAGAGGUUGAACGGCCACAUUGGGACUGAGACACGGCCCAGACUCCUACGGGAGGCAGCAUG
rnacentral:rRNA from 1 species